UCCCACACACCAAGCUGAAGAAUUUAGAGAUCUUGAGAGAAACCUCCAGGUCUGAAAACAUCACACCAUUUGCUUCUGCAAAUCGAACAAGAAACCACAAGGAUGGAGACAAGAGUAUCUACAUCAUCAGUAAGGAGACCAGGAGCUAUUUAAGAGCUGUGUACUCACCAACUCAUUUAGUCCUGCAGGCCUACGAGGGAAACUGCCCUACUUCAGUGCCUGCAGGUUUCAAGUGGACAUGGGCCAGAUAAGCAUCUGGAGGACAGCAUUCCAAAAGGACACCAGAGCAAAAGACUGAAGGAAUCUGAUCCCUAGAUGAUGCUCUAAGACAGAGCUACUCUCUCCCUACCUUCUGGUCUCACACUUCCAACAAGAGAAAAAUAAAUCUUUUUUACCCAACCUGAAAACCAGUAUCCAACAAUA